rnacentral:rRNA from 1 species
UACCAGCACCCCGAGUGGUCGGGACGAUUAUCGGGCCUAAAGCAUCCGUAGCCGGUCCUGCAAGUCUUCCGUUAAAUCCAGCUGCUCAACAGAUGGGCUGCGGGAGAUACUACAGGGCUAGGAGGCGGGAGAGGCAAGCGGUACUUUAUGGGUAGGGGUAAAAUCCGCUGAUCCAUAGAAGACCACCAGUGGCGAAGGCGGCUUGCCCGAACGCGCUCGACGGUGAGGGAUGAAAGCUGGGGGAGCAAACCGG